UUUUUUUUUUUUCAGGUUGAGGUGCACCAUGUUGUCUGCAAUAUGCUGUUUUACGUAUUGCAUUUUUCACCAUAAGUAGGAUUGUCUCCCAUCCCUAUCAGCACCCAUCUCCACCCUCUAGCAUGUACAACAAUGUUCGUAUUUGGAAAUUUCUGUAAAAUUAACUUAUGAUGAUUGCAGAAACUUUUUUGCAACAUCGCAUAAUUUUAAUCUAUACAUCGCAUAAUUUUAAACUUUUUUGCAACUUACUUGAAGCAAAUGCAAGAGGAUAACCAACCAGAUGUCCCAGUCCCAAUAUUAGAGUUUUGUUAACCAUCAUAAGCGAUCCAAAUGUCGAUAUUUCACUGUAUAAGUAAUAUCUUGAGUUAAUCGCAUCAGCAAAAGCCAGAGUGAUGAUACAAAUGACAGGCACGAGAAUUGCUGAUGAUCCAAAUGCGAGUAGCACCAACCAAACACUUGCUAAAGCAAAAGCUUGUGAAGGAUCUUCCUGCCCUAAACACAAGUCAAAUCAAAACCUCAACCAAGUAAAAGGAAGUUUCCAUGAACCAGAAAAUAGAGAGGGAAAAGGACACAGGCUAACAAGAAUUUACCUCAGCAUCUGCAUAGGUUGAUUGUCGCCUGAGGCUACAUCGAGGAUACUUAACAACAGAUUUUGAACCAUACAGCCGCAACUUCAACUGUUAUAGAAAAUACAAACGUUAAGCAAAAGAUAGUGAAAAUGGACAUGAAGGAAAGACAGCCACUUGAUUAUACCUCAAUUUUAUCAAACAUCGCAUCAACAAUCAAAGGUUUACCAUUGUAAUAUGAAUCUCGUGCCUACAACAUAAAAGCAAGAUGAACAAGUAGAUGAAUUUACACAUCCAAACUUCCUAAUUCUGAGGAGAACUUCCAAAGAUCAUAAAUAAUGGACAUAACCAUAAAUAACGCUUUGCCCAAUGUUUCAUUUCUUUCGAUCAAAAUAAAAACAGAGCUCCAGAUUAUGACUUAAAGUGACUGCAACAAGAAAAAGUAGUUCAAUUCAUCUCAUAGGCAAAUUAAUUGAAUUUCAUGCUUCCUGGUACAAAAGAAAAGCCAAAGAAAAUCAUAAAACUAAAGUUCAUCUACUUGCAGAAACCUAUCAAUUAAUGAACUCCAACUAAAAAUGGAUGACAAAAAUAAUUAGCAAAAGAAUGAUGAUAUGACCAAACUUACUUAAAUGUAUUAUGAGGCAGAAAAUUAUCGAACCAUUUUGGAGGAUGAAGGUAAUUAGAAGCUUUAUGUGGUUUAUUCCAAAAACAAUGAAGCUCAUGUUGCAAAUUACUGAUCUCCCUGAUCUGUAGAGCUGAAUCUGAAUCCUAUAUAGACUUCAAGAUUUAUAGUACUGCAUGUUAGUAAAUUUUGCAAACACAUUUAAAGAAAAGGGAGUUCCAAAUAUGCACAUCAGUUCUUGUUCUUCUUUAUUUAACAUCUAGCACGUUUGAAGAUUGCAGAAUCUCUUCAUUGUUAUCCUCGAAUAGUCCAGUGUGUUAUUUGCCUCUUGCAGGAUGGACAUCACAACAAGAAUGCUUUUACCUGCUGAUAGAGGGCCUCCAGCAUCUCCUUACUGGCGGUCUCGAUAGGGCCGACGUAGAGGCAGGAGGGGGCAUCCGCCGCGACCGCGAGUACCGGGGAGAACGACCUUCGGCCGCCGCCGCGCGGCCGCGGCCGGAGCCGGUCGUGCGCGGAAAGGGGGCGGGCGCGGAGGACGUGGAAGGCGGGGACGGCUGCCGCUGCGGAGGAGGAGGACGAGGAGGAGGACAGGGGCAUGAGGCCCGCUGGCGCCUCCGCGCGUGGAGGCAGCGGGCAGCGCGGUGUAAUCGCGGCCGCAGACGCUGCGUUGUGGCCACCAUUUAAGAAGCCACGUCUCUCGACGCACCACCACAAGACGAUCGCAAGCGUGAGUGGAUGUGUGUCUCUCAUUGGAUAUUUCUCUUUCAGCUUUGCGCGGCCAAUCAUCGAAUAUAUAAAUAUACAUAUAAUAAUAUCUGUUAGUUUUGUCCAAAAUAAUAUGUCCAAUUAAUCUGUGAAAAUGAUCUUAUUUUGGUCUCCCAUAAAAUAUAUAAAAGAUGAAAUUAAAAAAUUACCCCACACAAAGAAAUUAUAAUAACCUUUUUUUUUUUUACUUUACUCAAGACAUUAGGAAAACAUACAAAGUGGAUUAUCCGCUUUGCAUCGAAAUUAUUAACUCAUCCAUAAUUUCUUAUCUCAAACGAAACAAAAAUAAUAUUUUGUUUAAAGAUUCAUUUAAUAAAAUCUCACUAAUAUUUUAAAUUUUGAUUCUAUAUUAAAUUAGAUUACAGUUAAUUAUGUCAAAUCUUAUGAACACGAAUCGAGUCAAAUUCAAUGCAUGUAUCAUUAAAGCUAUUGGAAUUUAUACACCGAAAACAUGAGCGAUAUCAAGAGCAUCUAUGAAGAACAGAUGAUACUGAAAGAGAACUUGCAAGAUACAAGAUUACGCCUUUGUGUUCUUUCUAUCCCCUAAGUAGGAAGCGAGGAAGCCGAUGGCCUUGGAUGAGCAAUCUUUCUAUUCCCUACAUCUUCCCAGCUUCUCCAACGAGGCAUGGCGGGCCGUUGGCCACUUGAGUUCUGUUCGGUCUUGGGGUUUCUCUCGGCAUCCUUGCCAUGCUGAAGCUGCUCCAAUGCCACUACCACUUGAUCCAUGGUUGGCCUGUGCUUUGUUUCCAAGGACAGGCACCUGUCUGCGAGACCGGCUAUUUUCUGGGCUCCUGCCAGUGAGUACUGUGCUCUCAAUCUGGAAUCCAGGAUGCUGAUGAUCUUCCUCUUGCUCGCAAGAUGAGGCUUCGCCCACUCCACCAAUUUGUACUCUCCGGUGGGGCGGUUCUUGUCGAUGGCACGUCGGCCAGUCAAUAUCUCGAGAAGAACAACUCCAAAGCUAUAGACAUCACUCUUGGCAGUCAAAUGUCCUUUGAAAGUUUAUGAUGCAAAUCAACAAGUCAGCACAUGUCUCAAGCAUCACUUUCAUUAAGAAUGUAUGCUCACCAAACCUACCUUCUCCAUGUAAUGUGUAGAAGAUUACAAUCUAUAAAGAUGAGAGAGAAAUAGUUUACCCAAAGUUACACGUAAUGACUACUCGGAGGCACCCUUAAAUAAUAUCUUUAUUUCCUCAUUGACUUGACUAAUAUUUAGCUUAAAUAACUCCAAGGCUCUAAUCUCAUGUAAAUCACCGAUAUAGUAGUAAUCGGAAUGGCAAAUAAAGGAUGAAACAAGAUGCCUAAUCACUAUAUAAGCUACAAGGCCGGCCAUCUCCAACAUUACUUGUUGAUAUUUCACACAAACCAAGUAGUAAGCAAAGUAUUGUUUGAGAUGAUAUGUGCUAUUGCUUUUGUGGCAAUAGUUUUAACCAUCACCUUAUGUGCAGAUUGCAUAAUUGAUCCUAUUUAAAAGUGAAGCAUUCUAAAUAGAUAUACUAAAAGCCAUGAGAGGCCGAGUUGGAUCAAGAUAAACUAAUGGUAAGUAAAAUGAUAAACGAUAUAAUUAGUUUAAUAGACACCUGACCAACUCAUGUGUUCAUGAGGAAAUUGCAAAUUUUAUGUGACUUAAAUGACUAAACAGAUGAGGGGUUUUUGUGAAUUACAAAUCAGAUGACAAGCAAAAGUAUUCCAGGCUGUGAAGAAGACACAUUCAGCAUUUGCAAUAAUAAAGAUGCAACAAAAUUACCUGUUGCAAGAUACUCAGGAGCAGCAUAUCCAUAUGUCCCCAUGACCCUUGUAGAAACAUGGCUUUUAUCACCGGUAGGACCAUCUUUCGCCAAUCCAAAAUCAGAAAGCUUUGCAUUAUAAUUCUGUACAUAAAUCGGAAACAUCAAUUCUGAAAGUUGAAUGAACGUCCAUUUCAAUGUUGAAAACCUAGAUGACUACAUACUGAAUCAAGAAGCACAUUGGAGGUUUUGAAAUCACGAUAAAUGACUUUCGCCUUGCUGCUAUGCAGAAAAGCAAGUCCUUUUGCAGCUCCCAGAGCAACCUUCAUGCGGAGGUUCCAGGAGAGUGGCUGAUAGUAUGAACUCCCUGCAUCACCAUAAGAGCAUACAAACUGAGAUUCAUACAGAUUGAAGUAGAGUAACAGCAAACAGUAGCAAUCUCUUAGAAAACAAUUCCUUCAAGUAAAACGUGAAGAACACAUCCGGUAUAAUAUCAGAUACAGUCCAUGAAGAACAUACUCCUGAAGAGAUGAUUCUCCAAGCUUCCCCGAGACAUGAAUUCAUACACAAGAAGUCUUUGUUCAUCCUCCAAGCAGUACCCAAUAAGCUUUACAAGGUUAGGAUGAGACAGCUGACUCAAGUAAUUAACCUCCGCCUACAAGAUUUAAAGAAGAUGCUAUUGAGACUACAUGUAUCUGGUAAGCUACAGAAUAGAAUUUGAAAUCUAAGUUACCAGCUCGAUAUACAUAUCAUUCAUACAUGAGGUGGAUCUCAACACUAAGAAAUCAGAGAACAAAAGAGAGCAAAGAUUUUGCAGGAAUCAAUACUCACCAACCAUUCUUUGUGACCCUGGAAACCUUCCUGGUUGAGUUUCUUCACAGCGAUAACCAUUCCAGUCCCAGGCUUAGCUGCUGCCAACGUGUGCUCAUUGAUCCAUCCCUUGAAGACUGAACCAAAGCCUCCCUCUCCCAACACACUGUCUGGCCGGAAAUUCCUGGUGGCAGUUCUGAGUUCAUUGAAGGUGAAGCUCUUCAGAUUGGAUGACGUCAAGAUCUCACCCUCACUCCGUGGAGUCGGCGGCACGGAGGACGCAGACACCCUGCUGCUGGAACUGCUUAAAACGUUUCCCUUCCUGCUCCCAUGUGGAGAGUCCUCUCCUAGGCAUUCAAAUACAGUGUCUACUAGUAAAUCAGACUCAAAAGAAAAAGCCACAGACAAUGCUUUCAUCGUAAACUCUUGCAUUAGCCAAUCAAUUGAAUCAAGUAAUACAACUUAGCACAAUUCAUCACCUUACUUAACAUUGUGGAACAAAAAAUACGAGCGGCAUACUUUACCAGAUAAAUUAGCAAAAUUGAGCCUAUGUUUGAAAGGAAUAACUGCUAAUAGGCAAUUUCCACAAAAGAAGACUUACACGGGAAUAAUUCCAAGAGAAACACAAAAUUCACUCUUCCAACACUAUAUAUAUGUGUGUAUAUAUAAGGCAGUAAAACAACUCUUAUUGAGUUGAUCGAUAUGCCGAUCCAUCAAAUCGAUACCUCUUCCUACCCCUCCAAUGACAAACUGAAAUGUUGUUUGCCCUAAAUUAUUUCCAAAAUUAGAAAUUUAAUGAUCUCUAAGAACAGAUUCAGAACAACUUACUCCCUUCAGGGAUGACAAGGUGGGAUCUCUGAUGUGGUAAUAGGAAAUUGUGAUAUGUCACUGCCGUGUUAACAUGACAUCAGAUAAAUGCCCCAUAUUACUGGUCCACAUUAAUUAAUGGAUGACAUACCUGCAUCUGCAUGUCUCCUUGGUGCCAGGAUCAUUCAUCGUGCCACUACUCAUCACCUGCGCGGUAGCACAUCUGACACCUCUUCUUAGAAGGUUUAACACUAGGCAUUAAUGGACGACGGAAAGGGGUCAGGUAGGCUCCUCCGUCCGCCUCCGAACGACGACCAAAAGUGAUUCAUCGACAAGAGAACGGUGGAUUCCCUAAUCUACCAUACUAUCAUUAGUAAUCCCUCAGAGAAGACAGUUAAAUAUUGCAACUUUUUUCACUUAAUCCACUAAAAAACCAUUCAAUUUCUAUGGAAAACGUCCCAAGGUUAUAAGCUAUGAUCGAACUCAGAAGCUGCAUAAAACAAGAUGGAACCUUUAGUACCUGAAGCGAAGACGUCGUGGGAGGGGUUCUCCGCCUUGACCUUAGCGCCCCAGCAAUUACCCAUCGGAGAACAACCCAAGCGUGACGACAGCCACGGCCUUCAAUCUACUGGCAACCCCCGAAAGAUAGGGUUCUCCGCGGCCAAAUCUGUGAGGCAAGAACCACCGGAUCCGGCAAGGAAGCAGCCUUUUGGCGCAGUAAUGCAGCAGGAAGCCGAGGUUAACAGCGAUUCGGCUUGCUCACCAAGAGCGGAUCUCCAGUUGCGGAGCUCCAAAUGAAAGCUGGGAUUCAGCGGCGAAGAGGAGCGAGCUUGAAUCGAGUGACGAGUGGAGAGGGCGCAUAAAAAGAAGAGAGAAAGAGGAAGAGAGAGAGUGAUAGGUGCUUCUUUUUGCGCUUUUGGUGUUCUGUGUUGCUUUUUAUUAAGUCCGUCACGAAGGUUGACUUCAGAGUCAUGGAUUGGAGAGUCGUAAUUAAUAGCGACACAAACUAUAUAUAUAUAUAUAUAUAUAUAUAUAUAUACUCUUUCAUUAAUAUUGUUUAUAACAGAUUAUUUGAUCGCAAGAAAUGAUAAACUUUGAACUAAAUAUAGGACUUGGAGUCCUUCGUUCUCAUAUUUCUCAAUCAAUAUGGAACUAAAUAAUUUUAUUAGUGUUUUAUUCCGAAGGGGAGCCAAGGACGAGUUUGCUUGGUCGAAGUGUAAGCAUCGGGUCCUCCUUCGAUCGGUCAAUCAUUAGUAUGAUCCAUAGGCUCACGAGGAAUUAUCCAUUUUGUGCAAUGGGCAUACCCGUAUAAUUUAUCAUUUACGAAGCAUUAAUGCGGUCAUUAGUGUGGCUCAUAGGCUUACGAGAAAUUAUCCGCUUUAGACAAUGAAUGUAUUCGUACGAUUUUAUCCUUUUUCAUAUAAGCUCCGUAAAGCACUUAGUUCCAUAAGGGAGAUUUCAUGAACUUAUAAGUUCUUAGUUCCAUACUCCUCGAUUAAUAUUUGAACUAAAUGAUAUAUAUAUAAUCACUGUCCACGACUUUUCCACGUGGAUUGAUCUUUCGUCUUUGAUGUCAAUUCCAGCCUCUGUGCCAGUCUAGAAAGCAAUAAUACUUCACGUAAAUAAUGGCAGGAGCAGCUUUACAAGUACGGUUACAAUGGAUCUGCAAUCUUAUUUGAAAGCUCUGGAGGUGGGUUUACUCUCUGCGACAUGACACCGAGAUAAUAUAAAGCUUGAUAGGAAUUGAUAUAUAGAGGAGAGAGGCUUAAGGUUUGGCAACUCUGUCGUAUCACUGUCUCCAUUAAUUGGAGUUUGCUCGAGGGAAGAAUGAGGGAGGUCAAAAAGAGGGCUCUGCAACUUGCGGCAGCGGCACGAGAUUGCACGUAAGUGUCGACCAAAAGCUGUGGUCUCAAACGAACAUGAACACCUCACGAGAAUGACAUGAAGGAUUAGGCCAUGGUUGAAGUGUCUGCAAAUCAUAAUCUCAAAGAUAUCGAGAUGACAAAAUCCGAUUACGUUCAGAUGCAAUGUCCUCAAUAAAUCCGAUGAAAGUGCCCUAUAUAUACGUAAGAGUCGUGAAGGAAAGCUGCGUUUGGAUAGAAGUGGGGGCAGACAAUAAUAAAGAGGGGGGGUCGACUUCGUAAGAGGUUGAGCUGUGUCCCCAUGUGAGGGAGCUGAAGCUUUUCUUCCUCCCUACUGCAGAGAGGCGGAGGAGGGAGGAGGCAGCCCCCACUUUGACUUGCUCGAUUUCUAGAUGACGGACAAAGAGCAUGCACCAUUAUUACAAGGAUGCAAGAGAUGAAGGAUAACAGGAGGAAGCAGGCUGGGGAAGAUGAUGUGCUUCUCAAGGGGUACGAAGUGGGGUGAUGACGUCUCUAACAUGUCUUUGGAUUCGUCAUACUGUGAAAGUAAUGAAACUAAACUUUCCAAGCCUAAACUACACAUUUCCCUACAAUUCCCGCAUGCAAGAAACUAAACUUUCAAGUCUAAUCCCUAAAGGCAACGAAUGGAAGAAAGAAAAAAAGAAAAAAAGAGGGGAGAGUAUAUUAUAAUACAUUAAUUGUGAAUUAAAAUGCAAUUAACUAAACGAGGAAACUAUUUGCCAUUACUGCAUGUAAACAGAUAUAAUAAGACAGUAAUUCUCAUGGCAAGUUAUUUUAAUGAUCCACUAGCACACGUGAAAGAUAGAUGUCAUGAAAGCAUCUUAUUGCUGUCGGCAUUGCCAGCUAAAAUGUGGUAAAGAGCAGGUCUCCCAAGUGGUGGAGAAGCUGAACUUACAAUUAGUUGGAAAUGAUAAUUAUCACAAAGCAAAUAAACAAGUUGUGCCGAUUUUUGAGAGUUGCAGAAUCUGAAAUAUGGCUUAUUCAUCCUUGAGGUGCUUCCCUCACUCGGUUCUUAGCAAAGAAACUACAAGAAAAACCCACGGAUUCUCAACACAAAAUUCAGAGGUCAAUACAUGAGCCUCGACUUGAGAGUUAGGAGUGUGUCCUCAGGCAGACGACUUGACUGUAGCAGCAUUGAUGAUGUCCACGAAUUCCGGCUGUAAUAAACAAAUAUAGAAAGGAAAGAAGAUGAGAUCUAUAGCCAACGUAACCAACAAAUUUAGAGUCAACUUGCUAAUUGAAGAAAAUUCCAAAGCACAUUCUCUUCAGUACUCAUGUCAUGUAGCCACCGUCUGCGACAUGCCAGAGAUAAAACAUGCAUCUAGCAAAGGCAAUGGGACAGCAAGCAUCUUCAUAACGUGUGAGGAUCAUGAAGUUGCCAACUAGUAGAUGACUGUUAUUCAUAUUGUGGUUGUCAACCCAACCCCCAAAAAACAAGUCAAUCUUAGUGCAAGUUGAAAUCCAAGCAAUUUUUCCCUCUGAAAAGGGUACCAGACAUGUUUUUGUGGUCAUUCUUCAUGCCAGAAAAGUAAAUUAUCACUCUUGUGGGUUUCAGAUAGUGACUAAUGACAGCCAAGAAUAUGUAAUAUAUUUAAGGACAUGCAAAUCUAGACAGACAUGUAGGAAAUAUAGACACAUACCUUCAAAGAAGCACCUCCUACAAGAAAUCCAUCGACAUCAGGCUGUGCUGCAAGCUCUUUGCAGUUAGCCCCACUUACAGAACCUGCAGGAAUUUCAUUUCUCAUGUUAGCAAAAAUUUCACAAGUAAUAUAUAAGAUGUUACUCCAUACGAGUCUCAUCAAAAAAAGGAAACACAAAUAAAAGAAACACGUAAAGAAUUACUCCCAGUUCACCAUGCUCAGUGCAACUCAAAGUGAUACAAGUACAGUCGUCUGGAACUUAUGGAGACAAGAGGAGAAAGGAAAAUCAAGUUGACAAUGAACAUUUACCUCCAUAUAUGAUCCUGGUUGACGCUGCAACUUCAGCACUCACGUUUGUUUGAAGCCACUUCCUUAAUUCCAAGUGGACCUGAGAAUCAUUGGAACAUGUGGCAGAAAUGGAUCAUAAUGAACUCUGAAAGAAAUGUCUUGGGAAAAAUCAGUAUCACAAGACAUCCUUGUGAAGCUAACAUAGCUCAGCAUGGAAAACAUGUCCACUGGUGUGAGCCUUAUGUUACCAUAGUGCUGUUUUGGCACACCCCUGAACUUGGUGCCCACGGUCUGUACUAACAGGUAUGGGUGGGCAUGACCAACAUAUGAAGUCCUUGGUGUUACCGAGAAAAAGUUUUUUCUAAGCUGCACCAUGCAUGAGCAUUAAAGAUGCCUGAUGUUACAUAUCUAGGAAAAAGAAUAAUUUAACCCUAUGAAAUUCAAUUAUACGUGGUGAUCAUAUGUUGCUAAAUAUAAAAAUGAACAGCAUAUUUUAUUUUACAGGAACUUAGUGACCAAUUAUAUUCGAGAAAUGGUGGCCGGAAACUUUAAGCACGUUUAGAUUGUUAGGUUAGAGACUUAUAGGAAGAUCAAAAACUUGCAAAUAAAUAGGCUAGGUUCAAAACAGAAUCACUUAGCAACAAGCCUGUAUUGUGUUACUAUGGCAUCAAAAAUGCAGAAAAUCUUUAACAAUUUUUUUUUGAUAUAACAUAUAUAGCAUGCCAACCUAUUUUGGCCACUUUGGACAAGACAAAUUUGACUAAUGAUUGUGAAUUUUACAUAAAAUUUGACAAAUAAAUGUGAGUUUUAGAUCUGCUGUUGAAGUAGCAUAUGAGACAUCACUGUGAUCUCCAAGGUAAAGACCUCAUUGUCCCAGUAGUCUUAGUGAAUAUAGAUGCAGAUGAUGGCAUAUUUUGGUAAAUAUUUUCCAAAACCAUACACAAGCAUUAUGAAGUAAUAUCCACAGAACUCGAGAGUUGACAUGGAAACAUGUGCAAAGAACUAAUACCUCCUGGGCCUGAGCUGGGGUAGCAACCUUUCCAGUUCCAAUUGCCCAAACUGGCUCAUAAGCCACAACCACAUUGGUCCAGUCAGAAAUCCGUUCUGUAUGAGAAAAAAUCAAUUAGACAGGGUACCUAAUAGUAAAAAAUAUUUGGUACAGAUGUUUCAUCCUACAAAAUCAGUUAGACCUACUACAUAGAAUGACACCCAAGAAUGACAGAUGACCCUAAAACUUUUUACAGUUAUUAAAGUUUAUAUCAUGAUUCCACAAGUACAAGAAGGUGCAUAGCUCAAUUGAACCAACGGGCAACAGCUUUAAUUUAUGAUAUGCAAAGCCAUAAAUACUUCUCUAGCUAUAUACAACACUAGGAUGUUUGUUGUGUACUUGAAAUCUAUUAUUAUCACAUUUUCUUCUACAUAGGAAGGGUUAAAUUGAACUACCAUUAUUAUUUAAGUCAAUGAACAUUCUAAUUCAUCCAUUGGAGAAGAACAAAAUUGUAACUCAUGAGACAUCCAAGUUAUGUAGCUAAAGCAUUUGCUUGUUGUGUCAAAUUCAAGAUUGUGAACAUCAUACAAAAUCAAAGAUGACAAAGAAGAAUUGAAUUCUUGGAAUUUAUUCCACUAAAAUAUAUUGACUGUGCUCCUAUUUGAUCGAAUGCAAUUUAGUCAGAUAAGGGCACGCUUGGGUAAAACAAUAAGAUUGCAUUAAAUUUGCCCAUAAUUCACAUUGAUACACCCAGGAUCCCAUAGUGCCAAGAGACUGCAUUAAAUUUGCCCAUAAUUCACUCAGAUAAAACUUUCCUUUUUCACACAAAAUAAAGAAAAGUAUACUUUAAAGUAACCAAAGACCUAAAACAACCACAAUAUUAACAAAUACUAGCUCAUGCUCUUCCUGGUUACAUGCAUCAGAUCUGGACACUGAUGACCACUUAAACAUGUGGCAUACCUAAAUGUUAAAUGUAACCAUCUCUUAUAUAGAGUCACAAUGUGAUUGAUACCUAAGCCAUGACCUAGCAAUAAACUUGAAACCAUACUGGAAUAUGACUGAGACACAGUUACUUAAAACUUCCCAUGCCAGCAGAAUUGAUGUAAAAACACAUGAUACAACACUUUCUUUUUACACUGGAUGUGUACACAAAACUCAGCCCACAAGUUAAAGUGACAAUAACACGAGGCAUGCAGAGUACCUGCGAUAGCUUUUGUUUGUGCAGCAACUACAUCCAUCGUGGUUCCUGACUCACGCUGCUCAAGUGUCUCACCAACACAAGCAAUCACCUUCAGGCCUUUAGACAGUGCAUAUGCAACUUUAUCUCCAACAAACUGCCCAAGAAAAUAAAAAAUGUGAAUUAGAAGGUAUUGAAUAUCUAACAAAUUUGAUGACAACUUCAGCAAAUUUCCUUGAUAGGCAUAUUAACGGGGAAGACAGCUAAAAUAUAUGAGAUAAAAUUCUAGUUGCUUGCUGGUAAAAGUGUAUGGUCAUUUUGCAUCACAAGUUGUUAACCAAAAUAUACUAGCAUAUUCUACCAAAUUACAUUGUAUACCAGAAGCUAAUACAACUUCCUUUUGUUCCUAUAAGUAUGCAUUAUAUCGUUGGCAUCCAUAGUUUAAAUAUUAUGGAGAACAAGAUCUUAUAAGUAUAAUAAUUUGAUUAGAAACUAGCAUAAAGCUUAAUCCAGCACUUAACUGAUUUCAUCGAGUGAUAAAAUGUGCAACUAAAUUUUCAUGUCGAUGCUAACUGCUGUCUUUUUUGGAACAUGCAUAACAAGAUCGGGAAAGCAAGAUAUAUGGCACUUUAGCAAGCUACUAGCUAAUUGUUAAUGCAGCACAUCUAGGAUUUGCAUAUAGCCUUUUAGCACAUAGGCAACUUACCUCAUUUGAUUCACUCAACAAAAGCCUUCGUUCAGAGUGUCCCAGAAUGACCCAUGGAAUGUCAAGGUUGACAAGCAUCUCAGCACUGCACAAGGAAAAACAAAUAUAUUCAAAUUAGGAGUGCCCAAUUGUUUUACAACAUUGUUAUAACUUAAAGAUGUGCAAGUAGGCAAUGAAAUGGCCAUUCAAAUAAAAACACCAUCAAAGUUGAAAAACCUAAAAAUAUACUACAGAAUGAACCAAAAAUAGAAACCUUAAAAAUCAAAAGUUCAUAACAUAGUAAGAAUUUGAUGAAAAAAGGCCCAUAAAAUGUGAUCCAAUGAUAAAAAUAUAAAUAAGAGAAAAAGUUGUUCUUAUUUGAACAGAGAGCAUGAACAAGUUCAAAUUCAUCUAGGGACAAAAAUCAUACCUAAUCUCACCAGUGUAAGCACCUCCUUUCUUAACCCAACAAUUUUGUGCUGCGACAUGGAAUUCAGGGCGCAACGAGCUUUUUACGAGCGGAAGAAAAACAAAUGAAGGGCUAACCACCACAUCUGCAGAGAUAAUAAUACAUAUAAUUUAAUGCGUUUACAGUGGUUGCACAUCGACAACUAGCCUAUCUAACAGUUAUAAAUAGAUACAACAUGUAAAUGACAGCAUACACAUUCUAAUUCCACAAGACAGUUUUGCAGAACAUGUGAGGAACUGGAAAAGCAACUCAGCGGAUAACACCAAUGAGUAUCAAGAACUAAAGGUUUCAAAGGCGAAGAUAUAAUUCUAUCUCUCAGUCAAAUAAAAUUGACGAUCGCUAAAUCAUCAUGAAUUUCUUGAGAAUCUAGUCUCGUUAAAACUGAAAUUUGUGAAUCAGAUGCCAGAGGGGAUGGAAUAGAAAUUAAUGUUCAGAAACCAUCUGAAUAACGCACUGACUAAGUUUCACACCAAACCAAACAAAAUUGUUGGUUACCAACCACUCAUCUAACAUCUCACUAAUCAAGCAGCAAUGACCUGGAAUCUUACCUAAGGAUCUUAGCAGUUAAUACCGACGAUAUAAAAGACAAAAAUAUAUGAGGAAACAUUGAAAGAAAAAAGAAAGCUCAAGUAGAUCUGACAAGCAAAUGCAUAGGAUUUCAUUUGUGACAAAUAGAACAAACAGUAUGUGAAUAUUUCCAAAACAUAUCCCUAAAUAUUCGAUCAAGAUCAUAGGGUUCACAACCAUACCGACAACAUCAGCCGAUGCAACUUUGCCAUCGUUCAGGAUGCUGACAAUUUUCUUGACCUCCUCGCUGGUCCCAUUCUGCGAAUACGGCCCAAAUAAAAACACAUUUAGCAUCAGAGUUCCAUGAUCUUAUAUUUUUUCCCAUAUUUAGUAGGCAAUCAAAAUCAAAGAGGACUAGAGAACAUGGAGUGGAGACAUAAAAAAGGAAACAGAGGUGUCCGAAUCCAGUAUAUCAAGAAGAUCGACUCUAAUUAGUUAAAAUUAGUGGAAACGAAUAAGAUUAAUAUGAAUCAGAGAAGAACGAGAGGAAACAGCAACAAAUCAUGCCGAUCGAUGGGAUCGGAUAACUUAAAGCUGACGAUCGAUGAAAGACGAGUAAAUCGGAGAGAUUUCCAGCAACAAGGACUGGCCAAGACCGCAAAUUUCACCAGCCAGGCUAUUAAGAUCUGCAAAAGUGGCAGUAGGGCAAAGUACCAAGCGCGAUCUAGAAAAAGGAAGAAAAGGGUAAAUGCGAGGAUUACGCAUUUCCAGUUGCCGCCGACGAAGAACUUCCUGGCCAUGUCUGAGGAGGUAGGCGACGAUGCUCAAAUCCAAAAGCCCUUUCCCUUGGCUUGGUCGAAUUAGAGGAUGCGGAGGUCUGGGCACUCAUAUAUACGGCGACUGAGACGAGAGGCGAUGGAAACAAGGGGAUGCAUUGGCACGAAUCUCGAACGUGCCAUUGGCUCCGAUGGGUGUCCGCGAUCGAUCCCGCCCGUCGAAUCAUAAGGAUCAACGAUCUGCUGUUUCCCCUUGACACAGCGAAUAGAUUUAUCAUGGAAUAGAUAUCUAGACACGUAGAUAAAGCUUCCGGGACAGGACCCACAUACGUGCCGUCGUGCACAGCUGCCGGCGAGCUGACGGUGCGAGUCCUGCGUGGUGAUUGGGUUCUCGGGACAUCGAUUACACGCCGUCGAGGGCAAUAUAAUAAGAUCCAGGCACUUGUAAUACAGGAGGAGCCCAUCGGAUCGUACAUCUGUGGGUUGGAUGAACACAGCUCUCCACGAUCAUUCUAUUAUUAUUAUUAUUAUAGCAAUAUUAUAAUUAUUAUUUAAGAUCAAGAUACAGUUAACAUUUUUAGCAACUAAGCUAGUAAACAUCUUUAAUUUCUUUUAAAAAAUAUAUUAGAUGAUACUUUGACCUUUAAUAUUUGGUAAGAAAGUAUAAUAUAUCAUCACUAUAUUAAUAUUUAAUAUAUUUAUUGUAAUAAUAUUAAUUAUUAUAAAUUUAUGUAUCGGAUAAAAUAUUAUUAUAAGAUAUAUCGAGCAUGAUAUAUCUAUAUAGCUACAAGAUACAUCGAUCCAAAAUAUAAGCAUUAAUGUAUAGGAUGAACCAUAAUUGGGCAAAGGAUUUCUUAUGACCGAUGCAACCACUUAGAGCUCGACGAAGACAAUCAAAAUGUUUUUUUACUCUUUAAGAAAAUUAGAUUGAGAAGAAAACAAACAGGAAAAAGAAUUUUUUGUAUUGGGAAAAGACAGCUACUUCACAUAACAUAAAGCACCGAAUACAACACUGCUACCGUAUCCGGAAAUCAUACAUACUUAAAGGUAAGUAUGAUCGACAUCAUCUCUAAGUCUUACGGAAGGAUACUCCCUAUUUAAGAGCAACAACGCUUCAGCAACUCACGUCUGAUAUCUGCAGUUCCCGUAACCUGCCACAGUCAAAGAAUGAUCAGCGCUGCAGGAAUCAGGAAGAACAGAGAGGGAAAGCGUGAGAUCAGAUAAAACGCAUGCGUCCACUUACUUGGGUCGGUCGAGGUGAGGACGCCGCUGCCGCCAAAGUAGCAGUUGAAGUCAUGGCGGCCGGCGGCCUGGUAGUAGGCGUUCAUGGCAUAAGAGGCGUGGGCCAAGAGCGUGUUGGGGUCGAAGCACGCGCCGCCGUUCUGUAUGGCCCCGCAAUCCGCCCCGCCGCUGCCGCACGCGUAGUCGAUGUUGUUCUGCAGCUCCGCUAGGCUCGCGUCCGCCGUUGCCACGCACCACCUCCAGGAAUCACCCGAGGGCGCCGGCGCCUGCAGAAUACCACCGUCACUCGAGUAUCGAACGGAAGCAAAACUCAUUUCUAGCAUGGCUGCCCCAACCAUGUUAUCUAGCAUGACCGUCCGACCCUUUGGUAUAGUAACUUUUUUAGAAUGACGUAUUUACCCUCAAUAUAAUACGUAUACUCCCCCAAAAAACAGUGUUUAGUGUCGAUUGGUUUGAAUCAAAUAUUUAAGAUAUCAUUAAUAACAUUAUCACCGUAAAAUUGAACGGAUGUUUAUGAUAAAUUUAAAUUUAGAAGGAUAAAUACGAAUACGUGUAUAAGUAUAAUAUACGCAAUUUUGAAGUAAAAGUAAAGAGGAGGACAGGACUCACAUUGUCGCUGUCGCGCAUAAGGCCGACGUCGUAGGACGGGGAGAGGUCGGCGUUGAAGAGCCCAAAGUGCCGCUCCGCAGUCGGCCCGGGCUUCAGGUUCUCGUUGAACAGCGCGAACACGUACGUCUCGAACCGCCGGCCCGGCAUCAUCGGCGUUCCCUUCCCAGAGUUCACCAGACGUAUCAGGUUGGCGUUGUAGGAGACCGCGUCCUCCACGCUCACACCGAGCUGGCCCGGGUCCCCGGCCGACGGCCACCCCGUCUCCCCCACGGCGAUCUCUACGUCUCCGUACCCCAGUCGCUGCAUCGCCGCUUGCACCGCGUCCAGCUGCGCCACGAACAUGUUGGUGUAGUUCACCCCCGUGGCCGGGUCGAACACCCCCGGGUUGGGGCGGAAGAGGGCGUAGUCGAGAGUGCGCGCUGUGUAGCCGAAGUAGGGGUAGGGGUUCACCACGAACGGGGUGCGCGUCCGGCGGUGGAAGUCAAGCAUCGGGGCGAAGAUGACGCGGUCGUAGCCGGGGCGGAAGCGGCCGGUGGAGGGCGGCUCGGAUGCAGAGAGGAUACCGAGGGAGUGGGGGGUGGAGACCCUGAUCUGGGGGAAGCCGGAUGCGGCAAGUGCCGCGGAGAGGGAGCGCAUAGCGGGGACGAGAUGGGCGAUGAGGUUGCGGUCGGAGGUGGCGAGAACCUCGUUUCCGACGGCGAUGAGGGAGAUGUUGGUCGCAGGGUAGAAGGGGGCGACGUUUAUGGCAACCCAGGCGGAGGCAGCAGGGGAUGGGGCAGAGGAGCGACGGGAGGCGAGGGAGGGGAUGUCCCCGUUGGGGACCGUGAUCAUGAGGGAGAUUCCGGUGCCAGCGAAGGCACGAAUGAUGUCCGGGUUGGCGUCGAAGAGCUUCACACGGUCGACGAAGGUGCGGUCCUUGAGGAAGGCGGCGACUUGAGCCGGCGGCGGGAGAUUGUCCGCGAAGGCACCGUAGUUGACGCCGACGGAGAGGGCCGCGGACAAGGAGAGAAGGUGGAGUAGGAGUAAGGGGAAAACGACGAGCUUCGCUGCUUUCGCUAGAGAAGCCAUUGCCGAGGGAUUUGGGGCUUUUGGUGGUGAAGCGAGACGGCGAAGGGGGGUGGAUUUAACGAGGGAAAAAGGUGUGCGAUGUUCCACUGACGCCUGUGGGCGCUGUCACGUGGCGACGACUUCGAAACGGGGAAUACGAACGUUAUGUUUCAAGGAGGCUGCCGCGAUCCACAUUCAAAUACGUGGACGGCUGAUUGGGGCGGUCCAAACAAUAGCUUUAUGGACUAUGAUUUAGUGUACAUAAAAGCGGGCGUUAUAAAGAUUACCAAUUCAUUUCCAACGCAAAUAAUCCACGAUGAUUGCAGAUAUUAAAUAUAUAAUCACGCAUUUGUAUAUACAUAUUUGGUAAUAAUUAGGGGUUUCUUUAAUUGGAUUAAUUAAGGUAUUAAUAGCUUAAGAAACAGGAGCAAGAGAAAGAGCUUGAUGGGCCAUAAGGAGCAUUUGGACCUAACUUUGAUGGGCUGUAGAACGGCUCGAUAGAAGCCUGUCAAAAUGUGAAGCUGACGAGAACCGUUAAACCCUAACCGGCCGACUACUCCCUCUCUCUUCCUUCUCAGCGCUCCGUGCUUGCUGGUGACGAAGGUAUGACCGCUACAGCUCGCUAAGGAUGCUGGCCCGAUUCGUUUCCCAUCGCGGCCCCUUCCGCUUCGUAGCCCUAACCACCGUAGCUUCCUCCCAUGUCCGCCGCGCCCCGUCCUCUCCCCCUCCUCUCCGGCCUCCGCCCACCUUUCUUGGUACUCUUACUCGUCUCGCUCUCCCUCCCUCCGAUCCCAAUUCCACUUUCUUUCCGUCUCUGAGGUCAUUCUCGAGCAAUCGAGGUGACGAUGACGAUGGCGACUGGAAGUUUACGCCGCAGUCCGACGAGGUCGGCUCCGUAUUCGGGGAGGAGGAGGGCGACCUUGCCGGGAUCGCUGAUGCCGCAGAGGGCGGGUCGGAGGUGGCCGCCGCCGGGGCCGACGUUAAGAGCGGGGAUCUGUGGGAAAAGGGUAUUGUGACGGAGGGUGAAGGGGAUAUUUUUUACGGCAUCGAUCGGGGGUUUGUGGCCAAGGAGGGCGGGGUAAGAGAAGGGAAUGAGGAAUGGGAGACGGCGGAGGGGUACAAGCCGUGGACGCUUGGUGACGAUGAUGAGAAAGGGGACUUGUUCGGUGUCGUCGAAGAAGGGGAGGCAGGGAUUGAGGGGAUCGAUGGCGGUGGUGUCGAGGAUUUGGAUAAGGCAAGGGCUGAUGAGCAGAAGCAGCUGGAGAAGAAAGAGGAAGAACUUUUAGCUGCUUUGAAAGGUAAGAAUCACAGAACACAUCUCAAGAAAGGAUCUUCUUGUUUAAUGUUACCCGAUUGAUGUUAAUCUCAACAGUCAAUGCUUAUGUAUGUACCCAUUUUCUGCAAGCUGAUUUGUAAUUAUCAUUGAUCUGGAAUUUUCUAUGUUGCAAUAUUUAUUGAAAAGGUUUUAGCUUGUCUCUUCAAUAAUUUGAAGCUUAUCCUAGUUGUUUGUUGUCUUGUACUGUCACCUGUGCUGAUAUAUGUUUGGGAAAGAAACUGCUUCUUUCUUUAGGUUUCUCACAAAUGACUGGUCAUGUUUAUUGUUGGUUUGAUGAUGAACUUUCUUGCUGUAUCGUCUCCCAUUCCAAUUGUUUUGGUUCUCAAAAUGUCUUGUUCCUGUAGCAAGUGGCAUGAAUGACAUAUGGCAAGUAGCAGUCUCUAUUCAACAACAACUAAUGUCAAGUUGUCUUGCUCCUACAACAUAUAAAUAUGAAAAAAGCAUGAAUAAUCUGAGACACAGGCUUUGCCAUCUUUCUAAUGUGUACACGAGAGAGAGAGAGAGAGGACUCAAAAUAUAUUUUGUGUUAAACAUCUUUGUUCUAUGGUUACAUGUAAAUCCAUUGAAGUAAGAUUAUUGAUUUAAACCUAAUACCUGUGUGAAGGAAUUGUAUGUUUAUCUCAUCACAUAAUGUUGCUUCUUAGUUUCUAUUGUUGUUGUCUUUUCACUAUUUCUUCUUGUGGAGUGAUAUAUUUCUAUUUCAUCAUGGAAUGCUGUUUCUUACCUUCUUUUGGUGUUAUUGGUGUUCUUUCUUCUUGUGAAGUAAAUAUGAUAAGAUUAUGAGAAUUAAAAUGAGAAAUAAUAUAUGUUUAUUUCAUCAUAGAACAUUGCUUCUUAGUAUCUUUUGUUGUUUUCUUUGCUCUUUCUUCUUGUGAAAUAAUGUGGCAAUGUUGUGAGAAUUAAAAUGACAUCCGAGGAAAACAUAAUCUAUCUUGUUUUUAGCUCGUUUUAGCCCUUUUUUCUUUAGAGUGGUGGAUGUUCUUGAUACUAGUUUUCUCUGAGAGAUUUUACUCUUCUGUUUUGGUGAUCGUGCUUCUUUGUCAUCUUUGUUCUUUUGGUUAUCUAGCAGAACUUUUUUGGUAGUCCAAUUUCAUAUCUUGUUAUUUUACUUCUUUCUUUUAAUUUAAAUAUCCUGAAGAUAGUACAGGAUAACUGUUAGAUAGUUGAAGAUGUUUGGGUUCUGUUGUAUUGUAUGUUGGUACUUUCAGAGUAGGACCAAUGAAUAGAUAAGAAGCUCCAUUCAUGUUAAAGAGACUCUGAUUGCUUGCAUCUUGUGUUUCUCCUUAGUACACAGCAAUGCAAACUGCUUAGGGCUCAAUGUUUAAAAUGGCAGGUCCAAAUCGGGCAUUUGGAGAUCUCAUUGCAGCAUCAGGAAUCACGGAUGAUAUGAUUGACAGUUUGAUUCUCUUGAAGGAUGUAAGCGGUGUCAAGGGUUUGCCUCCCCUGACAGAAAUUGAAGACAAAGCUAUUGCAAGAUUGAAUGAGACAUCAACAAGAGUUGAAAUUGAGCGGAAGAAACAGGAGGAAGUAGCAAAAGCUCGGGUUAGAGUGGUGGAUGAGAAGGGGAGAGCUUAUGGAACAGGAAGACGAAAAUGUAGCAUAGCUCGUGUAUGGAUUCAACCUGGUGACGGCAAGUUCAUCGUCAAUGAAAAGCAGUUCGAUGCUUACUUCUCAAUUCUUGAUCAUCGAGUACAACUUCUUCAGCCUUUCAUUGUGACAAAAACUCUUGGUCUCUGGGAUGUAAAUUGCACCGUCCAAGGGGGUGGAGUUUCUGGUAAGCUUUAUGACUACAAAAUUAUCUUUGUUUUGAGAAUUAUUGUAGAUGAACGAUCCAAUUUUAAGUAGAAAAUAACAGUGAUUUAAAAAGGUGCUUGAGCGCUCGCCUAGGUCUCGGGCAAGACGAGACGAGGCUCAAGCCCCUCGUUUAAGGGCCAGGUUGCGCGCUUCAAAGAGGCGUCGCCUGGGCGCUCGCUCCAGACUAGGCACCGGGUGCUUCGGGCAAUCGCCCGGUUUAAUUAAGCAAACCGAACCAGACUUUUAAGUCUGGUUUGGUUAAAUAAUAUAGUUUCUUACCUCAAGCCACCCUUCACUCUCGCACGACCCCGAGGAACCCUAGUGUUGCUUCUGCCUUUGUCAUCGACACUUUUUGUCGUUGCCUCCGCCACUAAUGCAAAGGACCAAACCUUCCUUUGUCGUCGACUGGCGAGUCCGACGCCCCCCGUAGCUUCCUUCCGCUGUUGCUCUGUGUGCAGUUCCUUCCACUGUCGAGGGAGUGGAUCGCAAAUUCCUUCGCCACUGACGGACACCCUCUGAAGCUUUUGUCGUUGUUGCUGUUGCUGUCCGCAGCUUUCGUUGCCGAUGUCCGUAACUUCCUCCAUUGGCGCUGUUGCUAUUCGCAACUUUCGCCGCUAUCACUGCUGUUGUCCGCAACUUCUACCGUUGUCGCUGUUGCAACAAUUUUAAACUGAUCCUCUGUUAUUGUUAACAUUUUUUUCUCCCCUCUAACUAUUGUUAAUAGUAAAUAAUAUACUGUUAACAGUAUAUUUUUAAUUUAAUAUCAUAUUUUAUUUAAAUAUUUUUUAUUAUUUUAUAUAUUUUAAUAUUUUAAUAUUUUAGAGCAUUUCGUUUUGCUCGGUGAGCGCCAAGUGCCUUAGCCAUUUUGGGACCUUGGUGCCUAGCGUUUUUUAAAUCACUGACAAGUACAUGUGUCGUAAGACAUACACAAGCAUUGUUAUAAAUUCUGUUUUUCUUAGUUGACGAACUGAAAGACAAAAAUUACCUUUGUAGAUUUAGAGAGGCUAUCUUUUCUUGUUUUUAGCUAUGGGACUGAUGCAACGAACCUCUUCGCUAUUGCAGGUCAAGUUGGUGCCAUUCGCUUGGGAAUCAGCAGAGCCUUGCAAAACUGGGAACCAGGGCUCCGGCCUUUCCUAAAAGCUGGUAAAUACUCUUACCAAAUUAGUUAUUAAGAUAUACUGUGAUAAAAUUUAACAAUCCAUUUUAAAUCCUAGCAUUGCAGUGUAACCUCAUCCUCAUUGUGCUUCUCAUGAACCCCCUCUUGGAUUUAGUAACCGACCUACCUUCAUCGCCCGUGUUUAGAUUCGAGUAGUGUGGCAUAUAGUGUGGUACUUAUUAUCCAACUGUUGACAUGGCUUGUGUGCUUCAUCUAGCUGGCUAUUUGACGCGAGACCCACGUGUAGUCGAACGGAAGAAGCCUGGAAAGGCCAAAGCCAGGAAGAGCUUUCAAUGGGUCAAGCGAUAACAGGUGUGGUUGUCAUUCCCUUUCUCACUGGAGAUACACUACCCUGUCACCAUUUAGGGGCUUACGAUGUUGAUCUGGAGAUGUAUCAUUUAUAAUGUGCAGGUUCUUGCGCAUCUUCUGCUCUCAGCUAUUUGGUAUUGCUGGCCCCUCAGUGAUGUUAUACCUCUGCUUGUUUUGUAGCCUGUAGCUCAAGAGAUCUUACUUACUACUUGCUCAUCCACUUGUGAUCAUAUAAUUAAUUUAUUUGAGCAACUGUAGGCAUCCAUCUAUCAAUCUUUUGCUUGUCAGCUUUUAUGUGGACCUUCUGUGUUUCAGAAUAAAGCGAACCAUCAAUUUUUCAAAGAGACACCAUUACUGUUCCAGAAUUGAAUUGAGGAAGGUAGUGAUGAUGUCUUGUUGUUUUUAAAGGUAACGGUGUAAAUCCUUUUAUCAAUAAUGUUUCUUUAGAAAAUUAUAAGACCUGAAAGUGAAUCAGAUUAUCAAUUUAUAUUUUACAUUGGAAAUUGUGCAAAAUGAUAUGUUGAACCUCAUUUCCCUUCUCUCCAUCUCUUCCGGUUUCUCCCAUUUGACAAACUUAUUGGGAAUAUUGAUCUGAAUUUAUUUUUAUAUCUGAGGAGUUAAUGACCUGACAAAGAUACACUUUUUGAUUUAUUUGUCGAGGAUUAAAGAUUCAAUGAUCUUUUUUGAUUUAUUUGGCAAGAAUUUAAUAAAUAAACAUUCAAAUUUUAUCAACAUUUUUUUAUACCAAAAAUAUUGAUCUUCUUGUUUAUCUGCAUAAUCAAUCCACUUCUCUAAAAUCACAAGCUCAGAACAGGAAAGCGAUAUGCAUCACAGGAAGAAAACUUGCUUCUUUUUCAAGUACUAAACGACACACAACACUCGAAACUAACAGCAGACGCACACAAACCACAGACAACAAGAUAGAAGCAAGAGAGAGAGAGAGAGAGAGAGGGAGAGGUCUGUUCUCUCUCUCAGCCAUGGUGACGAGAACAACAUCCUCCGAGGGAAGAGGGUUGAGACAGUAAGCCAUGGCCUUUUAUUUCCAUCACCAAGUCCAAACACAAGUCACUAACCCCACAACACCACCACCGAUGCUGCUCCUCUCCCUCUUCAAACUCUGAUCAUCUCCCUCAUUUGCAGUUGCAGGGAUCGCAGGUGCAGUUGGAUCCGCACUUGCAGCCAUUCUCGGACCCUUCAGCUGCCAUGUCCAACUCCUCAAAGUUCCUGCAACCAACCCCAAACAAUGUUGUCCAUCACUCGUACAGUAAUCAUGUCAAAGAUCAACGUUUUCAGAGUUAGGAACAGACCCUUUCUGAGGAACAACCCCCAUAACCAUGGUUUGGGCGGUGGUAUC
rnacentral:lncRNA from 1 species